CAAGGGGUAGCUUACACAAUAUAAAGCACCCAACUUACACUUGGGAGACGUUACUUCAACCCCCUUGAG
rnacentral:tRNA from 1 species